ACCCUGAUAGCCCAACCGGAAGGAGGCGGCCCGCUCAGGACGGGAACAGUGGGGGUUCGAAUCCCUCUCGGGGUA
rnacentral:tRNA from 1 species